AGAGUUUGAUCCUGGCCCAGGAUGAACGCUAGCUACAGGCUUAACACAUGCAAGUCGAGGGGAAACGAUAUUGGAAGCUUGCUUCCGAUAGGCGUCGACCGGCGCACGGGUGAGUAACGCGUAUCCAACCUGCCCAUCACUUGGGAAUAACCUUGCGAAAGUAAGACUAAUGCCCAAUGACAUUUAUAGAAGGCAUCGGAAAUGAAUUAAAGAUUUAUCGGUGAUGGAUGGGGAUGCGUCUGAUUAGCUUGUUGGCGGGGUAACGGCCCACCAAGGCGACGAUCAGUAGGGGUUCUGAGAGGAAGGUCCCCCACAUUGGAACUGAGACACGGUCCAAACUCCUACGGGAGGCAGCAGUGAGGAAUAUUGGUCAAUGGGCGAGAGCCUGAACCAGCCAAGUAGCGUGCAGGAUGACGGCCCUAUGGGUUGUAAACUGCUUUUAUAGGGGAAUAAAGUGAUCCACGUGUGGUUUUUUGCAUGUACCCUAUGAAUAAGGACCGGCUAAUUCCGUGCCAGCAGCCGCGGUAAUACGGAAGGUCCGGGCGUUAUCCGGAUUUAUUGGGUUUAAAGGGAGCGUAGGCCGGAGAUUAAGCGUGUUGUGAAAUGUAGAUGCUCAACAUCUGCACUGCAGCGCGAACUGGUUUCCUUGAGUACGCAUAAAGUGGGCGGAAUUCGUGGUGUAGCGGUGAAAUGCUUAGAUAUCACGAAGAACUCCGAUUGCGAAGGCAGCUCACUGGGGCGCAACUGACGCUGAAGCUCGAAAGCGCGGGUAUCGAACAGGAUUAGAUACCCUGGUAGUCCGCGCGGUAAACGAUGGAUGCCCGCUGUUGGGCCAACUGGUUCAGCGGCCAAGCGAAAGCAUUAAGCAUCCCACCUGGGGAGUACGCCGGCAACGGUGAAACUCAAAGGAAUUGACGGGGGCCCGCACAAGCGGAGGAACAUGUGGUUUAAUUCGAUGAUACGCGAGGAACCUUACCCGGGCUUGAAUUGCAGAGGAAGGAUUUGGAGACAAUGACGCCCUUCGGGGCCUCUGUGAAGGUGCUGCAUGGUUGUCGUCAGCUCGUGCCGUGAGGUGUCGGCUUAAGUGCCAUAACGAGCGCAACCCCUCUCCAUAGUUGCCAUCAGGUUAAGCUGGGCACUCUGUGGACACUGCCACCGUAAGGUGUGAGGAAGGUGGGGAUGACGUCAAAUCAGCACGGCCCUUACGUCC
rnacentral:rRNA from 1 species